GUGCUCACUUCAGCAGCAUAUACACUAAAAUUGGAGUGAUACUGAGAUUAGCUUGGCCCUUGCCCAAGGGUGACAUACAAAUUCAUGAAGCAUUCCAUAUUUUU